rnacentral:rRNA from 1 species
GAUGAACGCUGGCGGCGUGCCUAAUACAUGCAAGUCGAGCGAACAGACGAGGAGCUUGCUCCUCUGACGUUAGCGGCGGACGGGUGAGUAACACGUGGAUAACCUACCUAUAAGACUGGGAUAACUUCGGGAAACCGGAGCUAAUACCGGAUAAUAUAUUGAACCGCAUGGUUCAAUAGUGAAAGACGGUUUUGCUGUCACUUAUAGAUGGAUCCGCGCCGCAUUAGCUAGUGGGUAAGGUAACGGCUUACCAAGGCAACGAUGCGUAGCCGACCUGAGAGGGUGAUCGGCCACACUGGAACUGAGACACGGUCCAGACUCCUACGGGAGGCAGCAGUAGGGAAUCUUCCGCAAAGGGCGAAAGCCUGACGGAGCAACGCCGCGUGAGUGAUGAAGGUCUUCGGAUCGUAAAACUCUGUUAUUAGGGAAGAACAAAUGUGUAAGUAACUAUGCACGUCUUGACGGUACCUAAUCAGAAAGCCACGGCUAACUACGUG